rnacentral:lncRNA from 1 species
AAUUCUAUAUUUCUAUGUUGUAGAUCGACAACAUCAAGUCAAAAGUGCCAGAAGCUGGACACACUGUUUUUAAUACAGCCAAAUCACUUGUUGACAAAGUUGGGCAUUUAUUGGGUCAUUUAUUCCGAAAGAAGAGAUCUGCAGAGCCUGAACCUGUGCUAAGCCUGGUUAGUGAUCUUCUAAGCGGCGGUGGAGUUGGUGGUCUUCUAGGGCGCCGAAAGAGAUCUCCAGUAGACACUCCUGCCGUACACGUUCCCGUUGAACCACAUGACCCAAGCAUUCCAGAACAAAUAUCAACCCUUGUGCAUGAAGUAGAAACAGUGAUUGGUGAGAUCAUGACCACGGUGCCAGAAGAGGUGAGUACUGUUGACAAUUUUGCAAGAAACAUUGUUUUCUUUCUACUAAACAUAGAAUAAAGACUGAAUUUGAUUGAGAUAUGGUA